GAUGAACGCUGGCGGCGUGCCUAAUACAUGCAAGUCGAGCGAACAGACGAGGAGCUUGCUCCUCUGACGUUAGCGGCGGACGGGUGAGUAACACGUGGAUAACCUACCUAUAAGACUGGGAUAACUUCGGGAAACCGGAGCUAAUACCGGGUAAUAUAUUGAACCGCAUGGUUCAAUAGUGAAAGACGGUUUUGCUGUCACUUAUAGAUGGAUCCGCGCCGCAUUAGCUAGUUGGUAAGGUAACGGCUUACCAAGGCAACGAUGCGUAGCCGACCUGAGAGGGUGAUCGGCCACACUGGAACUGAGACACGGUCCAGACUCCUACGGGAGGCAGCAGUAGGGAAUCUUCCGCAAUGGGCGAAAGCGUGACGGAGCAACGCCGCGUGAGUGAUGAAGGUCUUCGGAUCGUAAAACUCUGUUAUUAGGGAAGAACAAAUGUGUAAGUAACUAUGCACGUCUUGACGGUACCUAAUCAGAAAGCCACGGCUAACUACGUG
rnacentral:rRNA from 1 species